rnacentral:rRNA from 1 species
UACGGAGGAUGCGAGCGUUAUCCGGAUUAUUGGGUUUAAAGGGUGCGUAGGCGGGUUAUCAAGUCAGCGGUAAAAUCGUGGAGCUCAACUCCAUCCAGCCGUUGAAACUGAUGAUCUUGAGUGGGCGAGAAGUAUGCGGAAUGCGUGGUGUAGCGGUGAAAUGCAUAGAUAUCACGCAGAACUCCGAUUGCGAAGGCAGCAUACCGGCGCCCGACUGACGCUGAAGCACGAAAGCGUGGGUAGUCGAACAG